UACCAUUUAUGACCAAGCAUAGAGAAAGAGUAACAUUUCUUCUUUAAGCAACCAAUAUCAUUUUAUUUUCUCCUCUUGUUCAAUAAUGGCAUCAUGGACAGCAAGGCAAAACAAACUAUUUGAAGAGGCACUUGCUAUAUAUGAUAGGGAAACACCUGACAGGUGGCACAAUGUGGCUAAAGUGGUCGGAAAAUCUGUUGAGGAUGUUAAAAGGCACUAUGAGAUACUCAAAGAGGAUAUCAAGCGCAUUGAGCGUGGUGAGGUCGCUUAUCCUUAUUAAGGUUCAUGAUUCUUUAGAAUCCAAGAUUUGCGACAUCUUCUGUGACCGUGUUGUCCUAAUUAAUUAGCCAAAAAAAUUUAUCUCCAACAGUGAUUCGUAAAGGAAUUCACUUUCCAUGUAAACCAAGUUAUUUCAAGGUUGUGUUGUCAAAUGUAUAUAUCACCUACGUGAAAUAAAAUUGUUAAGUUAUUUUCCAA